UUACCAGAGUACUAUGAAUGUUUAAAAAUUUAAAACUCAAAGAACUUGGCGGUGUUUUAGACCACCCAGGGGAACCUGUCUCGUAAUCGAUAAUCCACGUUGUACCUGACCUCUUUUUGUUUUCAGUUUGUAUACCGUUGUCGUCAGGUAACUUUUUAGAAACUAGAAGUUAGCAAUUAAAAUAUUGGUAAUUUAGUAUGUCAAAUCAAGGUGCAGCUAAUAAAGAGGGGAGGAUGGGUUACAAUUAUAUAAUUCAUAAUGACGGAUAAGUAUAUGGAUAUGUGUUAAGUUAUAAGGAGGACUUGGAAGUAAAUUAGGAUAUAUAAAUAAUUUGAAUUAGGCUCUGAGACGUGU
rnacentral:rRNA from 1 species